rnacentral:lncRNA from 1 species
AUUGUAAAUUAAUGUACCUCCAGAACAGCAGCAACCCUGCAGUGGUAGUAGUGGUGACAGCAGCAGCGGCAAUGAUGGAAGCCUGCAGGAGCCAAGAGUGUAAGAAAUGGAAACCGCUUUCUCUAUUUUCUCUGGAGCUAUAGAUUCAGACGAAAGAAGUUGGAAGAGGAAACAUUAGGAAUUUCCUUUCAAACUCCAAUCAAAACAGCCCAUUUGAAUAUUUUUUUAAAAAAAUUCCAAAAAUUCUUCCUGUGAGGAUGCAUUGGCUAAAGCAGGUCAAAGUUGCUGAAGAGGACUAAGCGAGCCUCUUGGGGAAGAUGAUAUCAUCUGAUCUGUACACAUGUCACAUUCAGAACAUUCUGCAUGGCUGCUGCUGAGCUCCCAUCUGUCAGAUCUCAACAGAGAGAACAAAGACUAGAGAUGUGAGUAAUUCAAGAAACAUCCAUUUACUAGCUGAAAAAACAAAUAAAAUUAGGAGGAGCCACUUUCUUCUUGUUACAUGUUACUGAUACGUGUUCUACCUGGCCAUACCACACAUUACAUAAAAUGUAUUCAAC